rnacentral:rRNA from 1 species
CUGGGUGUAAGGGUGCGUAGGCGGGACUGCAAGUCAGACGUGAAAUACCGGGGCUUAACCUCGGGGCUGCGUUUGAAACUGUGGUUCUUGAGUGAAGUAGAGGCAGGCGGAAUUCCUAGUGUAGCGGUGAAAUGCGUAGAUAUUAGGAGGAACACCAGUGGCGAAGGCGGCCUGCUGGGCUUUAACUGACGCUGAUGCACGAAAGCAUGGGGAGCAAACAGGAUUAGAUACCCUGGUAGUCCAUGCCGUAAACGAUGAUAGCUAGGUGUGGGGGGACUGACCCCUUCCGUGCCGGAGUAAACACAAUAAGCUAUCCACCUGGGGAGUACGACCGCAAGGUUGAAACUCAAAGGAAUUGACGGGGGCCUGCACAAGCAGUGGAGUAUGUGGUUUAAUUCGAAGCAACGCGAAGAACCUUACCAGGUCUUGACAUCCAACUAACGAAGCAGAGAUGCAUUAGGUGCCCUUCGGGGAAAGUUGAGACAGGUGGUGCAUGGUUGUCGUCAGCUCGUGUCGUGAGAUGUUGGGUUAAGUCCCGCAACGAGCGCAACCCUUGUCAUUAGUUGCUACGCAAGAGCACUCUAAUGAGACUGCCGUUGACAAAACGGAGGAAGGUGGGGACGACGUCAA